UCGAGAAUUUUUCACAAUGGGCGAAAGCCUGAUGGAGCGACGCCGCGUGGGGGAUGAAUGGCUUCGGCCCGUAAACCCCUGUCAUGUGCGACCAAUUGCCGUCGGUGAACAACCGGCGGUUUGAUAGUAGCGCAAGAGGAAGGGACGGCUAACUCUGUGCCAGCAGCCGCGGUAAUACAGAGGUCCCAAGCGUUGUUCGGAUUCACUGGGCGUAAAGGGUGCGUAGGCGGUUGGGAAAGCCUGACGUGAAAUCUCCGGGCCUAACCCGGAAACUGCGUUGGAAACUAUCCAGCUUGAGGGUUGGAGGGGGGACUGGAAUUCUCGGUGUAGCAGUGAAAUGCGUAGAUAUCGAGAGGAACACCAGUGGCGAAGGCGGGUCCCUGGACAACACCUGACGCUGAGGCACGAAAGCCGGGGGAGCAAACAGG
rnacentral:rRNA from 1 species